CCAGACGGUCGGAUGGCCGCGCGCGGGCAAUGGGGAAACCCGUCCGCGCGAGGAAAGUCCGGGCUCCACGGAAGCACGGUGCCGGUUAACGGCCGGCGGGGGCGACCCCAGGGAAAGUGCCACAGAAAGGAAACCGCCCGCCUCGGCCCCUCGGGGCCAUGCGGGUAAGGGUGAAAGGGUGGGGUAAGAGCCCACCGCGGGCCCGGCGACGGGACCGGUACGGCAAACCCCACCGGGAGCAAGACCGAAUAGGGACGGCACAUGGCGCGCUUCCGCGCUGUCGUCCGGGUGGGUCGCGCGAGGCGUCCGGCAACGGGCGUCCCAGAGGAAUGGCCAUCCGCGUGCCUCCGGCACGUCGACAGAACCCGGCUUACAGACCGUCUGGCCCA
rnacentral:RNase_P_RNA from 1 species